GUUUUGACACAUUUUACGUUCAUGCCGCAGUAGCUGGGCUGUGUGGUGGAAUCAUCUGGUAAUGUUUCAUUAGCACGUUCCAGUUUUCCUUGUAUAGUCAUAGUAGUGGGAGUAUUUUUUUUUAACCCAAGAUGUAAGAAAUUGCAUUGCAAUGGUGGUGUUACAUAAGCUGAUGGAUGCUAAACUUUUGGAGCUGUACAGUAGCCACUAUUUUGUUGUCUUAGCACCAGAUUCCUAGGAAGCUUUUGACUGACUGGUUUCUUAAAAUAAUAUUUGUAAAGUUUAAGCUAUAUGGUCAAUUGAUCCAUAUUUCAAAAAAGGAGGAUAAAGA
rnacentral:misc_RNA from 1 species